rnacentral:rRNA from 1 species
GUUGCCAGCGGUCCGGCCGGGAACUCAAAGGAGACUGCCAGUGAUAAACUGGAGGAAGGUGGGGAUGACGUCAAGUCAUCAUGGCCCUUACGACCAGGGCUACACACGUGCUACAAUGGCGCAUACAAAGAGAAGCGACCUCGCGAGAGCAAGCGGACCUCAUAAAGUGCGUCGUAGUCCGGAUUGGAGUCUGCAACUCGACUCCAUGAAGUCGGAAUCGCUAGUAAUCGUGGAUCAGAAUGCCACGGUGAAUACGUUCCCGGGCCUUGUACACACCGCCCGUCACACCAUGGGAGUGGGUUGCAAAAGAAGUAGGUAGCUUAACCUUCGGGAGGGCGCUUACCACUUUGUGAUUCAUGACUGGGGUGAAGUCGUAACAAGGUAACCGUAGGGGAACCUGCGGUUGGAUCACCUCCUUACCUUAAAGAAGC